rnacentral:rRNA from 1 species
CGACCGUUGGCGGCGUGCUUAAUACAUGCAAGUCAACUGAAGCAGUGGUAGCAAUAUCGCUGUGGAGGUGGCGCACGGGUGAGUAACACGUAGGUAAUCUGCCUUCAGGUCUGGCAUAACUCCGGGAAACCGGGGCUAAUAGCAGAUGAUGCAGCGGCUCGACAUCGAGACAGUUGUUAAAGCUAUGGCGCCUGAAGAUGAGCCUGCGUCUGAUUAGCUAGUUGGCGGGGUAACGGCCCACCAAGGCAACGAUCAGUAGCUGGUCUGAGAGGAUGAUCAGCCACACUGGAACUGAGACACGGUCCAGACUCCUACGGGAGGCAGCAGUAAGGAAUAUUGCUCAAUGGGAGAAAUCCUGAAGCAGCAACGCCGCGUGAGGGACGAAGGGCUUUUGCUUGUAAACCUCUGUAGUGAGAGAAAAAAAUCCCAAUCUUUGGGACAUGAUGGUAUCUCAAAAGUAAGCCCCGGCUAACUACGUG